ensembl:lncRNA
AACAGGUUUUAGAAAGCAAAAUAAAACUAUUAAAUUCAUAAAGUGUGGGUUAAUAUUAAUACUUGAAAUAAAAUAAUCAUUAACUGAAAUUAAAUAUUUAAAAACAUAUUUUAGCUAGUAGCCAAGGUAACAUUUUCAUUUAGUUUAAGUUAAAAUAACUAAAACUAAAAAUUAAAAUGCAAUAAAAACUAUGUAACUAAUAAAAAAUGACAAACACACUAACAAAAUUACCAAAACUUUAAUUAAAAUGAAAAAUAAAUAAAAAAAUAUCUAAUUCGAAAUAUUAAACAAAGCUAUAAUAGUAUAUCAAUGUUUCUCAAAAACAACAUAAAAAAACAAUGAAUUUAUUUAAUAUCUUCAGCGCACUCAUUAACUUUAACAGCCUUAGAAAUACAGUGUUUUCAAAGAUGCCCUUUAUGAAUGCCUGACCUCAGCUUGCAAACCUGUUCUAGAGCAAAAAAUAUUCAAACCUUCAGAGAGAGAGAGAGAGAGAGAGAGAGAGAGAUUACACCCAUGUUUUCCUUACAACGAGAGAACUGUAAAACUAUAAAAAUAACAGUAUCUUUGUGUUGUGUGCAGAAGCAGGUGUGUUUCUGGAAUAGAAACAGUGACAUCAUACAGCAGGAAUCCGGUGUUGCCAUGGAGAUGAGAAUUCCAAACAUCAGGAUGACAUCAAAGCUCCAUAAUUCCUGGAAAAAUCAAGUCAAGUCACAUUUAUUUCUAUACAGUUUAAUAAAGUACAGAUUAAUUUGAGCUGAUUUAUAGAAAUGAACAGGAAAAUAGUGUUAAUGUUAUAAAAUUCAUCAAUAUAUGCUAAAUAUGAUACUAAAAUAACCCUGAUUUAAUUGUUUGUUUGUUUUUAUAACAGGAAUGAACCAUAAUAAUCCUUGAUAACUAUCUCUGAAGUAAAAGCAUGAUGAAUAUCAGACCUGGGAUGUGAUGUGAUUGAUGUGUUAAUGUUUUGAUGGGAAUAAAGUCUGAUUUGUCGGCGUCACACAUCGGAUUCUUUCAUGAACUUGACCUUUGACCUCGUGUGUUGCAUGGGUCACCUGUCUGUUUGUGUUUGGUGAAGUGUAAGCCAUCUCUCAGAUAUUGGUGUCCUCUUCAUGCUCAGGCAUCAGACAGAGCGUCUCCUCACUGAUUUCUCCAUGAACACACUGCAUUAAAAAACAAUAAAGACACACAGCGAGGCUUCAGAGGACUUCCUGUGCUCAGGAAAACACGUCCAGACCCGCCAAAAGAAGAAGAAGAAAAUCACAUAUAAGGCUGAAUUAAAGAUCUUCCUUCUUCUUCACAUUCCUGAGCAGUCUUAUUUCAGUAUUAAUAUUAUUAUUAAAAUGUAAAAUUAGCUUUAUAUAUAUUUCAGCUUUCAUUUUAGUUUUAGUUAGAUUUUUUUAGUCAUUUUGCUACAUGCUGUU